GCGAGCGUAGUUCAAUGGUAGAAUACCAGCUUCCCAAGCUGGUUACAGGGGUUCGAUUCCCCUCGCUCGCUCCA
rnacentral:tRNA from 1 species